CUGGUGGUUGGCACCUGUAAUCCCAGCUACAUGGGAGGCUGAGAUUCAAACAGGCUUGAGUGACAACUUAAGGACAAGGCGGCGCCUCAACAAGAUCUCACACAGCGGCUACGGGGGCCAGAGAAGCAGCGCCGCACGGUGCAGCAGGAGGAGGAGGACCUGCACAAGGAAUUGGUUGAAGCUUCAGAGAGAUUGAAAUCCUAGGCCCAAGAACUGAAAGAUGCCCAUCAGCAGCAGAGGCUGGCCCCGCAGGACUUCCGGGAGCUCAGUGAGCUCAUUGCAGAGCUCUGCUCCCAGAAACAGAAGGUGUGGGAAAGGAGGAGGAGAUGGAAGUAGCCACGCAGCAAGUUGACGUGAUGUGGCAGGAGAUCUGAAGAUCCAAGAAGCUGGAAAGCUCCUCUUUCUGUCCCAGCACUUUGGGAGGUCGAGGCCGGCGGAUGGCCUGAGGUCAGGAGUUUCAGACCAGCCUGGGCAAUAUGGUGAAACCCCGUCUCUAUUAAAAAUGCAAAAAUUAACCAGGCAUGGUGGUGGGCACCUGUAAUCCUAGCUAUUGGGAGGCUGAGGGAGGAGAAUUGCUUGAACCUGGGAGGCGGAGGUUGCAAUGUUGCAAUGAGCCAAGAUUACGCCACUGCACUCCAGCCUGGGCAACAAGAGCAAAACUCUGUCUCAAAAAAAAAAAAAAGGAGGAAACUGUUUAGAUAUUUCAGCGAUGGUACUGAUUGGACUUUUGUAUGACCUUAAUAAAACAUCUUUGAGAACUUGG